AUGGAAACCACCCAUUUACCAACUGUACGAGACUGCUCUACCUAAUCCAGAUCAGAUACUGUUUGUGGAUGGUUCCAGAUUUGCUGAUGAACAAGGGCAAUAUCACACUGGAUAUGCAGUUACUACAGAAAGUCAAGUAUUACAGGCAGCCGCACUCCCGCCAACUAAAUCAGCUCAAGAAGUCGAACUAACAGCCCUCACAGUGGCCUGCAAGCUCUCUGAAGGUCUACGUGUCAACAUUUAUACAGAUUCAAGAUAUGCCCUGGGAGUGGCACAUGAUUUUGGCCUGAUUUGGAAAACCAGAGGAUUUCUCACAGCCACCGGCACUCCGGUGAAACAUGGCACAGCCAUUGAGGAACUAAUG